AACGCACCUUGCGCUCCUUGGUAUUCCUUGGAGCAUGCCUGUUUGAGUAUCAUGAGCAAAUCUCAAAGUCGAACCUUUUGUUAAUUCAAUUGGUUUUCGCUUUGGACUUGGAGGUCUUGCAGAUUUCACCGUCUGCUCCUCUUAAAUGCAGUAGCUGGAUCUCAGUAUUAUGCUUGGUUCCACUCGGCGUGAUAAGUAUCACUCGCUGAGGACACUGGUAAAAAGGUGGCCAGGAAAAUACUGAUCGAACCGCUUCUAACGGUCUAUUAACUUAGACAAUUACCCCCCCUUAAGUUUGAUCUCAAAUCAGGUAGGACUACCCGCUGAACUUAA
rnacentral:misc_RNA from 1 species